AUUGAACGCUGGCGGCAGGCUUAACACAUGCAAGUCGAGCGGGCGAGGUUGCUUCGGUAACUGAGCUAGCGGCGGACGGGUGAGUAAUGCUUAGGAAUCUGCCUAUUAGUGGGGGACAACAUUCCGAAAGGAAUGCUAAUACCGCAUACGCCCUACGGGGGAAAGCAGGGGAUCUUCGGACCUUGCGCUAAUAGAUGAGCCUAAGUCAGAUUAGCUAGUUGGUGGGGUAAAGGCCUACCAAGGCGACGAUCUGUAGCGGGUCUGAGAGGAUGAUCCGCCACACUGGGACUGAGACACGGCCCAGACUCCUACGGGAGGCAGCAGUGGGGAAUAGUGGACAAUGGGCGCAAGCCUGAUCCAGCCAUGCCGCGUGUGUGAAAAAGGCCUUUUGGUUGUAAAGCACUUUAAGCGAGGAGGAGGCUACUUGGAUUAAUACUCUAGGAUAGUGGACGUUACUCGCAAAAUAAGCACCGGCUAACUCUGUGCCAGCCGCCGCCGUAAAAC
rnacentral:rRNA from 1 species